GGCUCAGGACGAACGCUGGCGGCGUGCUUAACACAUGCAAGUCGAACGGUGAUGUCAGAGCUUGCUCUGGCGGAUCAGUGGCGAACGGGUGAGUAACACGUGAGUAACCUGCCCCCGACUCUGGGAUAACUGCUAGAAAUGGUAGCUAAUACCGGAUAUGACGAUUGGCCGCAUGGUCUGGUCGUGGAAAGAAUUUCGGUUGGGGAUGGACUCGCGGCCUAUCAGGUUGUUGGUGAGGUAAUGGCUCACCAAGCCUACGACGGGUAGCCGGCCUGAGAGGGUGACCGGCCACACUGGGACUGAGACACGGCCCAGACUCCUACGGGAGGCAGCAGUGGGGAAUAUUGCACAAUGGGCGCAAGCCUGAUGCAGCAACGCCGCGUGAGGGAUGACGGCCUUCGGGUUGUAAACCUCUUUUAGUAGGGAAGAAGCGAAAGUGACGGUACC
rnacentral:rRNA from 1 species